UACGAAGGGGGCUAGCGUUGCUCGGAAUCACUGGGCGUAAAGGGUGCGUAGGCGGGGCUUUAAGUCAGGGGGGAAAUCCUGGAGCUCAACUCCAGAACUGCCUUUGAUACUGGGGAUCUCGAGUCCGGGAGAGGUGAGUGGAACUGCGAGUGUAGAGGUGAAAUUCGUAGAUAUUCGCAAGAACACCAGUGGCGAAGGCGGCUCACUGGCCCGGUACUGACGCUGAGGUGCGAAAGCGUGGGGAGCAAACAGG
rnacentral:rRNA from 1 species